UACGUAGGGUGCGAGCGUUGUCCGGAAUUAUUGGGCGUAAAGAGCUCGUAGGCAGUCUGUCGCGUCGGAUGUGAAAACUCGGGGCUCAACCCCGAGCCUGCAUUCGAUACGGGCAGACUAGAGUUCGGUAGGGGAGACUGGAAUUCCUGGUGUAGCGGUGAAAUGCGCAGAUAUCAGGAGGAACACCGGUGGCGAAGGCGGGUCUCUGGGCCGAUACUGACGCUGAGGAGCGAAAGCGUGGGGAGCGAACAGG
rnacentral:rRNA from 1 species